GGGGAUUUAGCUCAGUGGUAGAGCGCUUGCCUCGCAAGUGCAAGGACCUGGGUUCAGUCCCCA
rnacentral:tRNA from 1 species